CCGGGCUCCGCCCCAGAACCUGGUACGGUGACUGCCAAACAAUGACUGAACGGCAGUGAGUAGCAUGUACCCACCCAGGAAGAAGAGGCCGAGAGAAGACUGGGCAAUGUCACACUGAGGCUGAGAUGGCCCAGGGGCUCAUCCGUGCUGGUAUUUUCCACAGACUUGUCCAUAGAAGACCAUUCCUGCCCUACAUUGAACUCAUGGUGAAAUGGUGUAGGCUGUUCAUUUCUAGGCCGCUGGCAGGCAGGAGGAGCACGCAAGGAUGGGAGCCCAGUAGUGAGAGCCACCUGUCUGAGGGAUGGCAGCCAGAAAGUUUCAGGCCCGUGCCACUCCUGUCCUGGUUCCCAUCUCUAGCUGUCAUAAUUUUUCCCUCAAGUACCUGCAGCACUUCUUGCAGCUCCCUCUGAUGAUCCUGAGGGGCAUGCCAGCUCUCUGACGUGACCUGGAAGGAACUGGUGGAUCCUAACCAGGAGCCACAGCGAAGCCUUGGGACUGGGGCAGCCAGCCUGUGGGAACGAGAGCUCACCAAGGGCAUCCUCUGCUCUGUUAUCUCCUUCCGGCCACAUGGAACCCCUACUUCUCCACCAUCUCGAAGGUGGCCUCCAUGACUGGAUGUCUUCUCCUUACUAACUCAUUACGAGAUUCGAUUACGAGAGAAGAGGCCGUGGACUUGCUUAUCUUGAACUGCUGCUAGCCUCAUGGUUCUGACACCAGCCUUCCCUACCAUGAUAGACUAUACCCCCUCUGGAGCCAUCAGUCAAAAUGAAU